GAUGAACGCUGGCGGCGUGCCUAAUACAUGCAAGUCGAGCGAACAGACGAGGAGCUUGCUCCUCUGACGUUAGCGGCGGACGGGUGAGUAACACGUGGAUAACCUACCUAUAAGACUGGGAUAACUUCGGGAAACCGGAGCUAAUACCGGAUAAUAUAUUGACCCGCAUGGUUCAAUAGUGAAAGACGGUUUUGCGUUCACUUAUAGAUGGAUCCGCGCCGCAUUAGCUAGUUGGUAAGGUAACGGCUUACCAAGGCAACGAUGGGUAGCCGACCUGAGAGGGUGGUCGGCCACACUGGAACUGAGACACGGCACAGACUCCUACGGGAGGCAGCAGUAGGGAAUCUUCCGCAAUGGGCGAAAGCGUGACGGAGCAACGCCGCGUGAGUGAUGAAGGUCUUCGGAUCGUAAAACUCUGUUAUUAGGGAAGAACAAAUGUGUAAGUAACUAUGCACGUCUUGACGGUACCUAAUCAGAAAGCCACGGCUAACUACGUG
rnacentral:rRNA from 1 species